AUCUUGUCUUUCAGCGCGUCGUUAUCCGUGUUUAUACUGACGUUAUCCAUUGCGGGCUUCGUAAGAUUUGACAGAAGGAUUCGUCUUUUAGUAAUCCAGCAUUUGACGCCUCUGCUCCUCGCCGUGUGUCUUCAGAAAUGCACCGAGGAGGUCAAUUGUGUCGGAGCUUUGGCGCAUCAGUGUCGAGAAUAAUAUCCCCGAACAGUCUUGGGGGAUUUCCUAGGGAACUUCCCCGCGGACUUUUUUGAGCUUCGUCAAACUGAGCCCUGCCUGCUCUCAAAGAUUCACCGUCGACCGUCAUUGGGAGCACUGCAGCUUGCGGAUGCUGCGGGAAAUCCUCUUAAACUCCCGCUGUCCCUUCUGCCAGCGCUUCAGCGAGGUGAUGACCAGAUGGCCGUCCAUCUUCUGGCCCAUGACCAGGUUGCCUGAAAUCUCCUGGAGCCUCCCUUCAUGACCUUUGGGGCCCCUGAGCUUCACCUUGGGAACCACUGCUCUAAUAAAAUAGGUGGGUGGACUUACCAAAGUCAUUCUUACACAGGUUGUCAACAAUUUCGUUGUCAUUUUCAUCUGUUUCCUUGCAAGCGUCGCACACUCUGGGCACUAAAACAGAAAUUACACAUGCUUAAUGUUGUAUAAACGGCCAUAAUUCAACAUAAAAUGUUGUGUCCUGUGCAAAAUCAGCAGGACGCACAUAGCCGGAUGCGACCACUGUGCAUUCUGGUGUAGUUACUGGACAGAGGAGUGCACAUAUUGAAUGGAAAAUCAAGGUGUUCACGCCUGCAUUUUGUGAAGCAGUAAAAGUCUGUGCACGAUCUGUUAUUAAUUAUGUGCCAUUAAGUGACUUUGUCGUUUACGCACAUGACUUGCGGAUGGAAAAACUACAGUUUAACGAAACCUUACCCUCUUUAGUGACUGGUGCAAAGUUCUCGAUGCCUGCAGGUGGUAUGCACAGGUCGUUGUCGAGUGGGAAACGGUCGCAGUCCAACAUCUUUGGCCAGGGAAAGCCGAACGCGGACAUCACGGGUGCGCAGCCGUGCUUGACGCUUUCGCACAGGGACCUGCACGGCUGGAUGGGCUCGUCCAAAUCGUCCAGACAGACGGGAGCGAAAAGGGAGCAGAGGAACUUUCUUGUGUCGGGGUGACACUGCUUCUGAACCAGCGGGAUCCAAGACGAAGCUUGCUGCAGAACCUCAUUCAUGGUUUCGUGUCCGAGCAGGUUCGGGAGGCGCAUUUCUGUGUACUCUAUAUCGUGGCACAGCAGCAGAUUGGCAGGAAUUGGCUUGCAGUUAUUCUUUUUGUAGAAUAAUUCAUGCUGGCCAAAGUUGUACAAUCCGUGGAUGGCUUCCGUGCAGGGUAUUGUUAUCACCCACAGCACUGCCACCGUCGAAAUAAAGGCUCUCAUUUUGUGUGCGCGUAAAACCUGCAAAAUAUAAACGCGUAAUCAGGGGGUGCUGAGCAUCAGUCGGCGUGGAUGGAGCCUCUGUCAGUGGCCAGCUCCUACUGUAACAAGAGGUUUUCUUCCAGGCAUGUCUGGGAGGAGUCUGUAUAUUGUGCGUAAAGACCGCUUCUCCAUUCAGCACUUUGUUUCCUCAUAUCAGGUGAGCCUUGUGGACGCGUUUGUCUCCUCGGUCAAAAAAAGGCCCAAAAUUCUCACUCGUUGCUCCUCUCGGUCUGACAGGCAUUUCUGAUGUCUAAUUAUAGCUUAUAGUAUUUUAUCGCCAGUCGUUUUCUUAACAGUUUCCCCUCUCUAUUUCAUCUCCUGCCCUUCAUGGAAAUCAUAACAGAACGUGUCUGACAGGUUUUCCUCAUUACGCCCAGAUCAACAGAAAUAUAUCCUGAGUUAUCAUUUAACUUGCUGUUUUUAGACCCGUGCUGUAAAUAGUUUGGAAAUGUUGUCAGUGGGGGCUUUUAGCUCAGUUCAGUGGAGCGUUAAUUUUCCAUCAUUAGGAGUUUAGUGGUGAAAUCCUCUGGGCAGGUCUGCAGGUUCAUACCACACCGUGAAAUAUUAUUUGCCCUGGUGUGAGAAGCAGACCUCCAGUCAGCACACCCAGGGGUGAAACCAAAUCUGCCUCCUCCUGCUCUGCAGCUCUGGCUCUUAUCCGCUCUAGGACCCCCUUGAGCUACAGUCUCGGUUGCAGACAACAGUAUGGUUCUUCUCAGGCUUGACCCUCCUCUCACUCCCCCGGAAGAAGCAGAAAUGAGUGAACACUUAAAUCUCGAUGUGAUGUUUGUGGAAUUUCAAGCUAAAAGGGUCAAUUCACACAAAUUACAGAAACAUUUCUUCCCACUUCCCCCUUGUGGUUUCUAGAUAUUCAAAUAUAUUUGGUUUUGCUUACCCCAACUCAGAGAUGUGUGUCACUGAGGCUCCUGCUGCUGCCUCCCCACACAAUGGAACUAAAUUUCAUUUCAUUUGUGGUGCUAAUUAAGGAGCAUUAAUCUAUUCUGAAACUCGUCUGUUGUGCCCGGCACCACAUGUCGAUUCCUGUGUUCUGUCACAGCUCAGUCUGUCAGAGCCUCCUACCUUCCCCUCCCAGCAGCUCCUUCAAUCAUUCAAAAAAGGUUAUGAGUCACUUGUUUUAAGUGGUAGGAAAAAGAAUUUGAAUUGAAAACACAGUUGUAGUUUAUUUGCUCUGAAUUAAACCUGCCAUUAAAGUUUAUGGCGCUACUCGUGCCAAUUUUUUUUAGCAGAACCGAACAAAGAGGAUAUUUUGGCAAGAGGUCCCACUUCACAUGUUUUUCUUUCCGUAUGAAAACAAGACAGAACCUAUAAACGAUUUGGUGAACCUGACAUGUAUAAAUAAUGUUUUAUGA